AAGCCUGGGGUAGAGCAUUUUGAGAAGCGGCUUCUCUUCCGCUGUCCCGUGGUUUUCUGGCCACAGGCUUCGUCGCUAAAAGGAUCACCCUGGACUUUCUAGACCAAGGACAUCUGAGUGUUGGAGUACCAACUGCCAGAGAUGAACACUCUGUCUGACAGUAAUGAAACUGAGAGUCCUGUUCUGAAGACCAUCCCCUGGAGUGUCCCUGACUUACCAGAUUCUGCUUCAUCUCUUCUGCUUCCUUAAUGAGCUUGAUGACUGCGGAGUCAUCAUUCCCCUUCCCUGCCAUGAUCCGCCUCAUGAUCUGCAGACUAGGAAGAAAAGAUCAUAAACCAGAAUACUUCCUAAAGAAUAAUAUUAAUAUUCUACGAUCUGGUAAAAACUAUUCUACCAUGGGAGGAAAAUGGGGCUGAAAUCGCAGGGGUUAUGGAAGUCCUCUGGACAGACAGGAUCUCCAAAGGACAAUUUCAUUCCUCAUUGACAUUUGCCUUAGGAAAUCCUAACUGGGAACCCUUACCUUCUUUGUUUUUCCUCCAAGUUAGACAUCAGCUUCUGGAAUAAUAGACUGUUCUUAUCUUCUAGAGGUUUUAAUAUCUCUAGAAGUUCCUGCUUCCUUAGCUUUAAGUCCUCAUUCAAUUCCUUCAGGUAGUUACCACUUGGCAUCUUCCGUCAGAGAUUCACCUUGUUUUUGAGGAUAAGUAAGAUCCUGGAGAGUUUGAAGCACUUGUCAUCUUGAGGAAAACUUCUACUCUAAGAAUAAAAACGUAUCCUUGAAAAUAUGAACCUUCUUGUUCCAUUCAUGUAUUCAGCAAAGAUGCAGACCUUGAAGAUAGCUGACAUAUGGAAACUGUUAGAAUGAGAUUAGAAGCUGCCAACAACCUUCAAUCAUCAUUACUCACAGUGAGUCCUGAUGAGUAAUGGGAUGAUCAGUUAGUUGUACCUCCAAGUACAUGGAGGAUACUCUCAAAGAGAGAGAGAGCUGAGCCUCCAGAGGCUGAAGGACUGUCAGAUGGAGUCUGAACUCCUUGUUCAACUGAAGAUCAACAAUCUUGAAAAACAGAAACUGCAUUGUGGGAUGACAUGAAUUCUCAAAGGAUCAGAACUGGACGCUGGGACAAGCCAUGAAUGGAGAAGAGAAGACCUUGAGGAGAGAAGAGUCAGGGAGGAAAGAAAAAUAAGGGACAAAAUAUAGCAGUAAGGAACAUUUUUGAUGAUUCCAGAUAGGCCUGGAAAUCAAGAUUCCUCAUGGCCCUGCUUAUAAAAGGGUAUCAGGGACUGGCAUCUUGGAGAGCACUCAGUGGAUAAUCAAUAGAUACUUACUGACCGAAUGACUGAUCGACUAAUGCACUUUUCAUUUGGAUUCCAAGUGCAGAAGCCCUUGAGGAUGUGCUGGUUUUCCUCCAAGUGAUCUGAAAUUGACCUCUACUGCACGGUAGAAAGUUCACUGCUCUUUUGCAGAUGAGAAAGUUGAAAUACAGAGAGAAUUUAAAUACUCUCAAAGUCAAACAGGACGUUAGUGACAGCUACAAGCUGCAAUUAGAGGCCAGGCAUUCUGAUUGCCAGUCAAUUGAAUGUGGAGUCAUUGAACUGUUUUCUGACAUGAGUAGCUUUUAUCUGCCUGUUAAUCUCUCAUGUAUAAGCUAUAGCUCAUUGUAGUAUGAAUCUGCUUCUCUUUUUUAUUUUGUUUUCUUUAUUUUUGAGUGACUCUCAUAGGUAAAAAUGUAUCCAAUUAUCUACCAUGACGAUUGGUUAAAUUUUUUUUAAACUGAGGCAUAACUGACAUAUAAUAGUUUCAGGUGUAUAAUGUAAUGAUUCAAUAUUUGCAUAUAUCAUAAAAUGAUCACUGCAAGGAGUCUGGUUAACAACUAUCAUUAUAAAUAGAAUUUUCUUCCUUAAAAUGAGGAGUUUUAAGAUCCGCCAUGAUUGUUGCUUUUUGUUUCUUCGUUGGCCUUUUAAGAUCAGGAACUGUGCCUUAUAUAUUCUUACUAACACAGUACCUGACACUUGAUAGAUGUUUAAUAAAUAUUCACUGAGUGGAUAUUAUCAUUAAAAUGAUCUUUUUAGAGUCUGGACAAUUAACAUACUUAACUCCUCUUUACAUCGUCAAAGAAAGUUAAACUUAUAGUGUUAUUUCAUUCAUAGCAAUCUAUUCUUAAUGUUGAAUUACAUUUCCCUUGCCUAGUUAUUGUCCUUUAGGGGUUACACAAGAGAUUGAACUACCAUAACACUGUCCUUGGUUUGAUUCCUAAACUAUAGGCUAACCUAUGCCUUAAAUGCCCAAUCCACAGUAAGAAUAUAACAUUUAUAUAUUUAAGAGAAGAAAAUAACUUAACUGAAACAGGAGUCAGUUUAAGGAGACAGAAUUACUGCCCCCAAGUUAGAAAAAAAGCAUUUUAUCACUGACUCAUCUGAGCCAUAUGGAUUUCAUAACUGAUGAUUAGCUUCUCUUAAUCAGUUGAACAUCCAUUUAAGGGACAAAUUGAUUAGCUCCUUGCAUAAUUAACAGAACAUUAAGUACCAUCACUUUGAGUUGAAAAAAAUUGUUUUCAUUAACAGCAAAUAUGAACAGUUUAACAUUAAGACAUUAAAUGGAAUUAUCUCAAAUCAUUAUUAAUCUGUUUUUUCAAAAUUUUGAGGAAGUAUUUGCAGCUAGCUUAGUACCCAAUGUUUGUAAGUCCCAAAGCAUGUUCAUUUUUCUGGCUAGAGUUGAAUUUAAUAUACAUUUUCCACGAGAGAGUAAGAUUAUAAUAUACCAAUAUAUAAAUAAUAACCAACACUAGUAUUGAUCAAACUCUUACUAAUUCUCUACUUAGAGAAAUGGCAAGUAACAGUUCUGAGGCAUAGAACAAGAAAAAAAUAUUAAACUUUUACAAAUUAUUUGAAAAGUAUUUGGUGAGGAAUUGGAGAAAGAUUGGCAUGAAUGUUAAAAUGGGGGAAAUUGUUAUUAAAGAUGUCAGGAUCUAUAAAAAACAUGAUUCAUGAGCCAGUAGAAGUCACAGAAUUGAACAAUGUGGAAAUAUGCAAGAACAGGACUGAACAAUAUGUUAGAAAAUUAAAGAUGUGAGAGGCUCUGCCUGCUGUCACCAGGUCCAAGAAGAUAUUCCAGUGGGGAAAAACACCUGGGAAAUGAAUCUUACAAUUGACAGGGGGUCAGCAAAGUUGUUUAAAGAUGUGCUAUGUCAGUAGUCAUAAAAAUUGCACUUAAUUACACAAACACAUAAUUAAAGCCAAGCAUUCAGAACAUUAGAGCUGUGUCAUUCUGAGACAGACAGUAGUUGAUUCUGACUACACCUUGGGCACUGAGGACCUAAUUAGCCUUUUCAAGAAAGUGUGCAGGUAUCAGUCAAUUCUGGAAUUAGUGCUGCGUAGGACAUUUGUUAAUGGAGACAAUGUAAUACUUGAAAUUGAUGAGGCCUCGGGCAAGUUUCAAACAGAAGUUUAGGAAUUUAAUGAACAAACAUGGAGGAAAUUCAGUUUAGACUUGUUUCUAAGAGUCUACUUGUGCAAAAUACACCUUUUUAAUUCAUCUCAAAUUACAGUCUCAGUAGAGAUUAGUUUGAAAGAGAACCAUUUUGUAGGCUCCAAUCAAUAGGAUACCAAAGACCUAAUCUAAAACAGUCAUGUUAUUUUAACAUUAUUACAUUCUACUAGUUCACCAAGAGUUGCUUGGCUGUGACAAUGUAAAUGUUACCCCGAGUGGUAAUUGCUGAGAAACAGUCAAAUAAUACCAGUUCCACUAGAUCAGCUUCUCAAAUAGUGUUUGCAAGUGCCUGGCUAGCAAGUUGAAAAUACAGAUUUCCAGGAUCAUCCUCAGUGAUUCUGAUUCAGUAAGCUUGGGGUGGGACCUAGGAAUCUGCACUUUUAACAAACACUGAUAGGAGAUCCACUGGCCAUUCUUUGAGAAUCCCAUGCAAGCCAAGAGCUUCUUGAGGGUAAGGACCAUUAUUUAUUGUUUAUAAAAAAUUCAGGACUUUAUGUAAUGAUGCUUAGUAAUAGUUAAAUCAUUCAUUGAGUCAAUAAAUA